rnacentral:lncRNA from 10 species
AAAGGAGCUGCUUUCGCCAGUAGUGAGCACUUUGUCCCUGGAGGUGUGUGUCUAAGUAGGGCUAAUUACUGAGCAUGUCCUGAGUUGGGCAGUGUGAUUCCUGGGGUAUCUUCCAGCCCUGUUAGGACACACAACAACCAAAGUGGUCCCUGGGCUCCAGUAACUCAGAGUCAGAAGGAGGUGAUGCCAGUCGCGGUGGCUCGUGCCUGU